rnacentral:lncRNA from 1 species
GAGUUUGACACUCCUGAUUCAAAAAGUUUUCAAGGAUGUGAGUAACAUACAAUCAGUCAAGCCUGUCCAAAUCUUUUACUGCUUAUGUAAACUUGCCUAUUUCUACUUUAGGUUCUAGUUUCACAAAGGAGGUGAGUCAGCCAGCAGCCCCAGAUCUGGGCUAUAAGCCGGGGAAAGAGGCCAUGAGAAAUAAUCCACCCAACGUGCUCUUCUUGCUGGGGGCAGAUGCAGACCGUGCUGAUGAAAGAGCAGCUGCCCAGGGACACCUUCAUCAUUUACUGUUGGCAAACCCACUUAAGGUGCUGGGUUGUGUUUCUCAAAAGCAUCGUAAGCUAGGCUGAUCGUAGAGAUCAUUGGAGGCGAUGGGUCUACUAUCUACGAUGCUUUUAGGAAACGUAGCCUGGAGUGUGGAGCAUGAUGGAUUUUAAUGACAGAUACAACUAGAGAGG